rnacentral:rRNA from 1 species
GACGAACGCUGGCGGCGUGCCUAAUACAUGCAAGUCGAACGCAGUGGGGACGGGGGAGUAACACGUGGGUAACCUCCAAGCAGAGGGGAGGACACUUGGAAACAGGUGCUAAACCGAAAUAGAUGGAUGGACCAGCGGUGCAUUAGCUAGUUGGUGAGGUAACGUCUCACCAAGGCCACGAUGCAUAGCCUGCCUGAGAGGGUGAUCAGCCACACUGGGACUGAGACACGGCCCAGACUCCUACGGGAGGCAGCAGUGGGGAAUCUUCGGCAAUGGGCGAAAGUCUGACCGAGCAACGCCGCGUGAGUGAAGAAGGUUUUCGGAUCGUAAAGCUCUGUUGUUAGAGAAGCGGUAUCUAACCAGAAAGCCCCGGCUAACUACGUGCCAGCAGCCGCGGUAAUAC